CCCCCCCCCCCCCCCCCCCACACACACACACACACACACUUGAGGCUGUGCCACAGAUAGCACAAAUUAUAUCACCACAACGCUAAAUCCUACUCCAGUCGUCACCUGGUUCCACAGUGUGUGAAACAUCUGUACUUCUGCCAUAUUGCAGACAUUAGCAGUGUCCCCGCUGCAUGUUUAAGCACUGUUUGAGUGAGGUGCUGCAGUAGGAAAUAAGGUGAAUCUCAGAAGUUGAGCAAGCUAUACUGUCUGAAUUUCAAUGAGCUUCUAUCCGUGAGGUCUAUAGGUGAUGAGUAGCCGACUGUUAUCUCCUGUCCAAUUUGCUUCCUGCUGGGAAUCUGAUAAAAAUCCUCGACUGCAGCAAAUUUCCCCAAAAUAAUAUCUGUGAGCUGUAGCCAGCGGGCAAGUUCCACAUCCACACGCCAGCCCCUCUAGACUCAGCCAUGUACUGUAAGCAGUUCAAUAAUCACCAGCUGCAAAAAAAAAUAAAUAAAUAAAUUAUGCCAUUUAGUGGCAUAUGCAAAUGAAGGCAAAUCGAACCCCAGAUUCUCAUGGGGCACAGAGAGGUAUUAUGGAAAUGAGCACAAGCAGCUUUGCUUUUCAUGUAACUGUUUUAGGGGAACCAGCGUUCUUGGAAGCAGCGCUCCGCCAUUAGCGUUCGCAGUCAAGUGUCGGUUGCUAUUUUUCAUGCCGUCCGGUGGCGCGUGGAUUAAUAAUUGAUGAGUGGUGUUGCUUUGAAGAGUGGGCCACGCAUGUUGCCGCCCAGCACCCUUAAGUUAAUGAAGACGUUUGUUGUGUCUGGGAACAGGAAACGCUGACCUUCCUCGACCUUUUGAAAAACACCUAGAUUGAUCUUUACUCCUCACGCACGCACGUACACACAUACGCAGGCACGCACGCACAUACAUGCACGCGUGUCUCUAGAAACUGGCUCUGCAUCGCCGGCAGAUACUUUGGAGUGCAACUGUGCGGCUCACGCACAGAUUCCUGCUCACAGUUUUGCAGAAACAUGCUCCAGCUUCACAUCUGGCAUGCCUUUGUGUUUCAAUCUGAAAUUCAUUUUAGCCAUCCGCAGCCCAUAAUUCAAAUUGUUGCUGGGUGAGCGCGGUUACAUGGCCUGACAUCAGAAAAGGGAAGCGGCGUGUAAAACUCUGCGUGUGUGAGAGUGUGUGUUCUGGAGCUCUGGCUGGCGUUAAUGCUCUGAAUGCCUCCAGACACGCUCACACGCUUACAUGCAGCCCAGCCGCUCAGCUGCCUCUGUCUGUGGGCUGAAGACGUGUCGUCACACCUUUUCCUUUAACACUUCCCGCCUGAAAAUCUGUCUCUCUCUCUUUCCCUCUCUCUCUCUCUCUGAGGCGUUGGUUCUAAAACAGCUCUGCCAAUCUCUGAGAUACGAAGGGGAAGGCAGUUGUGUGAAAUACAUUGCACGUUUAACAGGAUUUUCAUCCUCCGAUGCUGAAAGCUUUGCUAUUCUGAUAAUCACACCUUAGGUUUUGGCUCGAGAUGUUGAUUGUACGCUUUAUUUUCAGCCUUUGUAGUUACAACCGUUGGAUCUGUAUUUGUUACAGGUUGGCUUUGAAAACGGACCGUCUCACUUCACACACACAAUUCCCCAAAGCGAGGCUUCCUUACCUCUUUGUCCCAGGAGGACCACACAGGUGCAGGCUGCUUACACUGUAAUGUUUCCACAGAGACUGCUACGUUUACGGCCUGGACCAACCGUCUCACAGCGAACUCUCUCUACACGCCUCAUCCUCCCCCAAUGAGGAUUUAUGAUGCUGAAUAUGAGCUGUGCCGCGGACGCCCGCCUCCCGUUGGACUUAAUGAACGAGCUUCCUCCUCGCAUGAAGACAGAUCUGAGCCGACAGCGCUGUUGCUUCUCUGAGCGAGCCGGACCACGCAGCAUCUGCCGCGUGCGCUUGAGGGACAGAUACAGGGGAAACGAGGAGAUAGGAGCGAUGAGGAGGGAAAAGGGGGAAAUAGCAAAUCGGCACGAUACACGUGAAAUGUGGAAUUACAUAGUGGGUGAACUUUAUGCAGACAGUUACAGGGACUUAGGGUCAACUGAGGUCAGCGUGUUUUUAGAGUGUGAGUAGAGGAUGGUAAAUGUUAAGAAUGUACUGACUUUUCCUGGAUACCUUUACUCUUGAAGAUUCUGGAGUUAUUUCAAAAGAUGUGUGUAAUCAAGGCCAGCCUUGAUUAUUGAGUGGCCAUCUACAGUAGAUAUGAUGCUGAGCUUAGGCACUAACUGCUCUCUCGCGUGUGCUCUCACACAGAAAAUGAGGCAUCCAAGUGUUCUUACACUAAUUUGUUUUUUAAACGAGGUGACUGCCAACGCUCGCGCUGAAAAGACUGGUGAUCUUAAUUAAAAGACGCUCAACUUUUUUCUUUCUGUCUUAGUGGUUUGUGGAAAACUUUUCAUGUAAUGUGCUUUCAUAGCAUAUUUUCUGCUUCAGACGAUAUGAAGUUUUGGGCAAACAGUCGUUAAAUUAGUUGCUACCACCUGUUUGGAUUCACGAGAAUCAAACCCAAUCUGUACCACACAAACCUGAGCUCACCACCCACCCAGAAUCAUGAUGGAACCCACACAUAUUUGGCUGAACAGGUAACAUCUUUGAGCAUUUACAAAGCUUGAAAACAGAUCAUUUACCUUGAGUCAGAUGCAUCUACACAUUCUCAGCUAUUAAUGGGAUAAACCAGUUUAACCUGCAUAUAUUGAUUAAGAAUAUAGAUAUAAUAAUAAUAAUAGAAAAAAGUUAAUAUUGGAUGAUAUCUUUGGACUUUAUUUGCAUUUUAAUGUUCAAACUGCAAUAUUUUAAUUAUUCUUUCUCAAUUGACAGACAGACUGAAACUGAGCAACUAUAAAGGAGUUAAGUGAUGAAUGGAAUGUGCACCAGUGUGAACAUUAAAAUAGAUUUGCUUCUCAUUUCUUCGGUUUUAUGUUGGACCACCUUUUUUUGUCCUUGUACCACCUCACUUCCUAAAAAGUUAGGACAUUGUGUAAAACAAGGUCUUUUGUGAUUUUAACUUUAAUCUGAACUGGUACAAAGUGGUACGUCCAAAUGAGCUCAUUGCUACUGACUAUAUUGCAGCAUAAUAACUGUCCCGUAUAACCACAAUUUGCAUUAAUAAAGAUUUUAUGUGAAUUGAAUAGGUAUAAAAUGUGCAUGUAAUGAGCUGUGUGGCCAGUCACCUGUGCUAAGAUAAGUUAAGAUAAACUAAGCUAAGUUAAACUAAACUCAGCUAAGCACCUCAGGCCAUACAUUUAUUCAGUAAGUCUUAGGAUGGCAUAUAAGCAUAUUCCUCAAAAUGUGUCUGUGCUCCUUUUGUGUCUCCCUUUAAGGAAGCCUGGGGGGCUAACACACUAUAAAUCCAAAUUGUCCUGAGUAAUAAAGAAAGGCAUGUAAUGAAUGGAA